GACAGUUUGGCCGAGUGGUCUAAGGCGCUGGCUUAAGGCGCCAGUCUGAAAGGGCGUGGGUUCGAACCCCACAGCUGUCA
rfam:Perkinsus marinus ATCC 50983 gcontig_1104296659448, whole genome shotgun sequence.